GUUGAAGUUUUGUACAUUACUAGAAAUUUGGGCUAAUUGAGUAUAUUUUGUUAUCUAGAGGGUAGCAAGAAGUGUAAGAACUCUUGCAUUUUAGAUUGAAUGAACCCAGAAUACUUUAUCUAAGUACCUACACAAUAACUUAGCUCGAAAAUGAAAAGGCAGUUUCAUGAAUGGAUUUAUGUGGAAGAUGGAAUCACCUCUGUAUCACACAGAGGUAAUUUUGUGAUGGAAAAAUUCCGAUUUUAUCUUGUUAAAAAUAACAGUAGUAUGAGAAGGAAUAAGUAAUUUCCAGAA